rnacentral:misc_RNA from 1 species
GGGUUUUCCCCCCCCCUCUGUGGAUAAUUGUCUCUAUGAAUUGGCUUUUGUUGAAUAAUCCGGUUUCCUGUAAGUAAAGUGAUCAAGAAAUUACUGGCAUUUUGAAUCAUAUUGUUGCUUAGUUUUUAUUUGUUUGCCUUCAGUGAAUAUUCUUUCAUUUAGCUGUUAAAUAUUUAUGAAGUGCAGCGUAUGGGUCUUAGAUGAUACAAGGAAGGAGUCCUUAAACGCUUCCUUAGAUAUUGAAGCGAUUGAAAUGCAAAAAUAAUGUUGUUCCCAAGGUUUGCGUUGAUAGAUUUGUUUCGUUUUAUCAAUUAAAUAAAAAUAAAACGGAGAAAGAGCAAAGUGAAAAGAGGCCCAACCACAAGGAAGC